UGGGGAAUUUUGGACAAUGGGCGAAAGCCUGAUCCAGCAAUGCCGCGUGUGUGAAGAAGGCCUUCGGGUUGUAAAGCACUUUUGUCCGGAAAGAAAUCCUUGGCUCUAAUACAGUCGGGGGAUGACGGUACCGGAAGAAUAAGCACCGGCUAACUACGUGCCAGCAGCCGCGGUAAUACGUAGGGUGCAAGCGUUAAUCGGAAUUACUGGGCGUAAAGCGUGCGCAGGCGGUUUGCUAAGACCGAUGUGAAAUCCCCGGGCUCAACCUGGGAACUGCAUUGGUGACUGGCAGGCUAGAGUAUGGCAGAGGGGGGUAGAAUUCCACGUGUAGCAGUGAAAUGCGUAGAGAUGUGGAGGAAUACCGAUGGCGAAGGCAGCCCCCUGGGCCAAUACUGACGCUCAUGCACGAAAGCGUGGGGAGCAAACAGGAUUAGAUACCCUGGUAGUCCACGCCCUAAACGAUGUCAACUAGUUGUUGGGGACUUCAUUUUCCUUAGUAACGUAGCUAACGCGUGAAGUUGACCGCCUGGGGAGUACGGUCGCAAGAUUAAA
rnacentral:rRNA from 1 species